rnacentral:rRNA from 1 species
UAAUACGUAGGUGGCGAGCGUUAUCCGGAAUUAUUGGGCGUAAAGGGAGCGCAGGCGGCUUAUUAAGUCUAUGGUUAAAGUUCGGGGCUCAACCCCGUGAUGCCAUAGAAACUGGUAGGCUAGAGUGCAGGAGAGGUGAGUGGAAUUCCAUGUGUAGCGGUAAAAUGCGUAGAUAUAUGGAGGAACACCAGUGGCGAAGGCGGCUCACUGGCCUGUAACUGACGCUGAGGCUCGAAAGCGUGGGGAGCAAAUAGG